UUUCCUACGGGAGGCAGCAGUGGGGAAUAUUGCACAAUGGAGGAAACUCUGAUGCAGCGACGCCGCGUGAAUGAUGAAGGCCUUCGGGUUGUAAAGUUCUGUCCUUGGGGAAGAUAAUGACGGUACCCAAGGAGGAAGCCCCGGCUAACUACGUGCCAGCAGCCGCGGUAAUACGUAGGGGGCGAGCGUUGUCCGGAAUUAUUGGGCGUAAAGGGUUCGCAGGCGGUCUGAUAAGUCAGAUGUGAAAGGCGUAGGCUCAACCUACGUAAGCAUUUGAAACUGUCAGACUUGAGUUAAGGAGAGGAAAGUGGAAUUCCUAGUGUAGCGGUGAAAUGCGUAGAUAUUAGGAGGAAUACCAGUGGCGAAGGCGACUUUCUGGACUUAUACUGACGCUGAGGAACGAAAGCGUGGGGAGCAAACAGGAUUAGAUACCCUAGUAGUCAGC
rnacentral:rRNA from 1 species